GCACGGGVRUCAAUCCUGGUGGCGAGUGGCGAACGGGUGAGUAAUACAUCGGAACGUGCCCAAUCGUGGGGGAUAACGCAGCGAAAGCUGUGCUAAUACCGCAURMGAUCUACGGAUGAARGCAGGGGAYCGCAAGRCCUUGCGCGAAUGGAGCGGCCGAUGGCAGAUUAGGUAGUUGGUGGGGUAAAGGCUCACCAAGCCKRCGAUCUGUAGCUGGUCUGAGAGGACGACCAGCCACACUGGGACUGAGACACGGCCCAGACUCCUACGGGAGGCAGCAGUGGGGAAUUUUGGACAAUGGGCGMAAGCCUGAUCCAGCCAUGCCGCGUGCAGGAUGAAGGCCUUCGGGUUGUAAACUGCUUUUGUACGGAACGAAAMGGCUCUUUCUAAUAAAGARGGCUMAUGACGGUACCGUAAGAAUAAGCACCGGCUAACUACGUGCCAGCAGCCGCGGUAAUACGUAGGGUGCAAGCGUUAAUCGGAAUUACUGGGCGUAAAGCGUGCGCAGGCGGUKAUGUAAGACAGAUGUGAAAUCCCCGGGCUCAACCUGGGAACUGCAUUUGUGACUGCAU
rnacentral:rRNA from 1 species